rnacentral:rRNA from 1 species
CUAAUACAUGCAAGUAGAACGCUGAAGAGAGCAGCUUGCUCUUCUUGGAUGAGUUGCGAACGGGUGAGUAACGCGUAGGUAACCUGCCUUGUAGCGGGGGAUAACUAUUGGAAACGAUAGCUAAUACCGCAUAACAAUGGAUGACACAUGUCAUUUAUUUGAAAGGGGCAAAUGCUCCACUACAAGAUGGACCUGCGUUGUAUUAGCUAGUAGGUGAGGUAACGGCUCACCUAGGCGACGAUACAUAGCCGACCUGAGAGGGUGAUCGGCCACACUGGGACUGAGACACGGCCCAGACUCCUACGGGAGGCAGCAGUAGGGAAUCUUCGGCAAUGGGGGCAACCCUGACCGAGCAACGCCGCGUGAGUGAAGAAGGUUUUCGGAUCGUAAAGCUCUGUUGUAAGUCAAGAACGAGUGUGAGAGUGGAAAGUUCACACUGUGACGGUAGCUUACCAGAAAGGGACGGCUAACUACGUGUCAGCAGCCGCGGUAAUACGUAGGUCCCGAGCGUUGUCCGGAUUUAUUGGGCGUAAAGCGAGCGCAGGCGGUUUGAUAAGUCUGAAGUUAAAGGCUGUGGCUCAACCAUAGUUCGCUUUGGAAACUGUCAAACUUGAGUGCUGAAGGGGAGAGUGGAAUUCCAUGUGUAGCGGUGAAAUGCGUAGAUAUAUGGAGGAACACCGGUGGCGAAAGCGGCUCUCUGGUCUGUAACCGACGCUGAGGCUCGAAAGCGUGGGGAGCGAACAGGAUUAGAUACCCUGGUAGUCCACGCCGUAAACGAUGAGUGCUGGGUGUUGGAUCCUUUCCGGGAUUCAGUGCCGCAGCUAACGCAUUAAGCACUCCGCCUGGGGAGUACGACCGCAAGGUUGAAACUCAAAGGAAUUGACGGGGGCCCGCACAAGCGGUGGAGCAUGUGGUUUAAUUCGAAGCAACGCGAAGAACCUUACCAGGUCUUGACAUCCCGAUGCUAUUUCUAGAGAUAGAAAGUUACUUCGGUACAUCGGUGACAGGUGGUGCAUGGUUGUCGUCAGCUCGUGUCGUGAGAUGUUGGGUUAAGUCCCGCAACGAGCGCAACCCCUAUUGUUAGUUGCCAUCAUUCAGUUGGGCACUCUAGCGAGACUGCCGGUAAUAAACCGGAGGAAGGUGGGGAUGACGUCAAAUCAUCAUGCCCCUUAUGACCUGGGCUACACACGUGCUACAAUGGUUGGUACAACGAGUUGCGAGUCGGUGACGGCAAGCUAAUCUCUUAAAGCCAAUCUCAGUUCGGAUUGUAGGCUGCAACUCGCCUACAUGAAGUCGGAAUCGCUAGUAAUCGCGGAUCAGCACGCCGCGGUAAAUACGUUCCCGGGCCUUGUACACACCGCCCGUCACACCACGAGAGUUUGUAACACCCGAAGUCGGUGAGGUAACCUUUUGGAGCCAGCCGCCUAAGGUGGGAUAGAUGAUUGGGGUGAAGUCAUAAC